rnacentral:rRNA from 1 species
GGAGAGGUACGAUUCCCUUGAGUUUGAUCAUGGCUCAGAUUGAACGCUGGCGGCAUGCCUUACACAUGCAAGUCGAGCGGCAGCGCGGGGGCAACCCUGGCGGCGAGCGGCGUACGGGUGAGUAAUGCAUCGGAACGUGUCCUCUUGUGGGGGAUAACCAGUCGAAAGACUGGCUAAUACCGCAUGAGAUCGCAAGAUGAAAGCAGGGGACCCGCAAGGGCCUUGCGCGAGAGGAGCGGCCGAUGCCCGAUUAGCUAGUUGGCGGGGUAAAAGCCCACCAAGGCGACGAUCGGUAGCUGGUCUGAGAGGACGACCAGCCACACUGGGACUGAGACACGGCCCAGACUCCUACGGGAGGCAGCAGUGGGGAAUUUUGGACAAUGGGGGCAACCCUGAUCCAGCCAUGCCGCGUGUGUGAAGAAGGCCUUCGGGUUGUAAAGCACUUUCGGACGGAACGAAAUCGCACGAUCUAAUAAGUCGUGUGGAUGACGGUACCGUAAGAAGAAGCACCGGCUAACUACGUGCCAGCAGCCGCGGUAAUACGUAGGGUGCGAGCGUUAAUCGGAAUUACUGGGCGUAAAGUGUGCGCAGGCGGCCAUGCAAGUCGAGUGUGAAAGCCCCGGGCUUAACUUGGGAAUUGCGCUCGAAACUACGUGGCUGGAGUGUGGCAGAGGAAGGUGGAAUUCCACGUGUAGCGGUGAAAUGCGUAGAGAUGUGGAGGAACACCAAUGGCGAAGGCAGCCUUCUGGG